rnacentral:rRNA from 1 species
CCUACGGGAGGCAGCAGUGAGGAAUAUUGGUCAAUGGACGCAAGUCUGAACCAGCCAUGCCGCGUGAAGGAAGACGGCUCUAUGAGUUGUAAACUUCUUUUGUACGAGGGUAAACGCAGAUACGCGUAUCUGUCUGAAAGUAUCUUACGAAUAAGGAUCGGCUAACUCCGUGCCAGCAGCCGCGGUAAUACGGAGGAUUCAAGCGUUAUCCGGAUUUAUUGGGUUUAAAGGGUGCGUAGGCGGUCGGAUAAGUUAGAUGUGAAAUCCUGAGGCUCAACUUCGGAAUUGCAUUUGAUACUGGUAGGCUAGAGUGCAGUUGCGGUAGGCGGAAUGCAUGGUGUAGCGGUGAAAUGCUUAGAGAUCACACAGAACACCGAUUGCGAAGGCAGCUUACCAAGCUACUGCUGACGUUGAGGCACGAAAGCGUGGGGAGCAAACAGGAUUAGAUACCCGAGUAGUC